rnacentral:rRNA from 1 species
GACGAACGCUGGCAGCGUGCUUAACACAUGCAAGUCGAACGAAAAGAGGGAAAGAGCUUGCUCUUUCCGGAAUUGAGUGGCAAACGGGUGAGUAACACGUAAACAACCUGCCUUCAGGAUGGGGACAACAGACGGAAACGACUGCUAAUACCGAAUAAGUUCCAAGAGCCGCAUGGCCCAUGGAAGAAAAGGUGGCCUCUACCUGUAAGCUAUCGCCUGAAGAGGGGUUUGCGUCUGAUUAGCUGGUUGGAGGGGUAACGGCCCACCAAGGCGACGAUCAGUAGCCGGUCUGAGAGGAUGAACGGCCACACUGGAACUGAGACACGGUCCAGACUCCUACGGGAGGCAGCAGUGGGGAAUCUUCCGCAAUGGGCGAAAGCCUGACGGAGCAACGCCGCGUGAGUGAUGACGGCCUUCGGGUUGUAAAACUCUGUGAUCCGGGACGAAAAGGCAGAGUGCGAAGAACAAACUGCAUUGACGGUACCGGAAAAGCAAGCCACGGCUAACUACGUG